rnacentral:tRNA from 1 species
GGUGGCUCAGUGGUAGAGCGCUUGCCUCACAUGCACAAGGCCCUGGGUUCGAUUCCUCAGCACCA